GACAGAGGGUGCAAACGUUGUUCGGAAUGACUGGGCGUAAAGCGCAUGUAGGCGGCCCGAUAAGUCGGAUGUGAAAUCCCUCGGCUCAACCAAGGAAGUGCAUUCGAAACUGUCGGGCUGGAGUGUCGGAGAGGAAGGCGGAAUUCUCGGUGUAGAGGUGAAAUUCGUAGAUAUCGAGAGGAACACCUGCGGCGAAAGCGGCCUUCUGGAAGAACACUGACGCUGAGAUGCGAAAGCAUGGGGAGCAAACAGG
rnacentral:rRNA from 1 species